ensembl:lncRNA
AAAAGGUUGGGGUCAGCGAGGCCGAAAUUCGGGGUCGGCGGGAGGAAGAAGGGUUGCAGACAAUGAAGUAGAAGGUUUGGGGUCAACGAGGCCAAAAUUUGGGGGCAGUGGGGUCCAAAAGCUGGGGGGUUAAUAAGGGGAAGGGUUGGGGUCAGCAGCAGGGGCAAAGUUUGGGGUCAAUAAGGCCAAAAUUUGGGGUCAAUAAGGCCAAAAUUUGGGGGCCAGUGGGAGGGACAUGGGUUGGGGGUUAGCGAGACCCAAAGUUUGGGGUCAAUAAGGCCAAAAUUUGGGGUCAAUAAGGCCAAAAUUUGGGGGUCAGCGGGACAGAUAUAGGUUGGGGUCAAUGAGACCCAAAGUUUGGGGUCAAUAAGGCCAAAAUUUGGGGGUCAGCGGGACAGAUACAAGUUGGGGUCAAUGAGGUCCAAAGUUUGGGGUCAAUAAGGCCAAAAUUUGGGGGUCAGCGGACAGAUACAAGUUGGGGUCAAUGAGGCCCAAAGUUUGGG